rnacentral:rRNA from 1 species
AGGGGCAGCGGGAUUGAAGCUUGCUUCAAUUGCCGGCGACCGGCGCACGGGUGAGUAACGCGUAUCCAACCUUCCGCUUACUCGGGGGAUAGCCUUUCGAAAGAAAGAUUAAUACCCGAUGGUAUGAUGAGAUUGCAUGAUAGCAUCAUUAAAGAUUUAUUGGUAAGCGAUGGGGAUGCGUUCCAUUAGGUAGUAGGCGGGGUAACGGCCCACCUAGCCGACGAUGGAUAGGGGUUCUGAGAGGAAGGUCCCCCACAUUGGAACUGAGACACGGUCCAAACUCC